AGCAGCCGCUGUUACGUCGGAACGUCGGCGUCCGUGAGUGUAGCGACAACGACGAUAACAACGAACCGCAGAAACAGCGGUGGUGGCGCCAAUAUCCAGAAAUUAUUGUAAAGUCCCCUCGCUUCCACUCGUUAUUAUUGGCAUGGACAUCGAUCCUAUUGAACGAAGUAGGAUUUAUUCAAAUGUUUUUGUCUUCCCUACUCUCGUCUGUGGCGGAUGUUGGACGAGAGAGAUCCAGGAUUGUGAGCGGUUUCAUCGCUAGCGCAAUUUUAAUUUCUGUCUAGUAUAGUUGACUAGCGUUAGUGUUCGCGACCUGGUCAGUUGUGUGCUUGAUCUCGUUCAACUUCAGGACGCUUGGGUUGCCCUGUCUUGCGUAUGUGAAUAUAUCCGCUCAGAGGUACCGUGGAACUGGCUCCACUGAAAGCAUCUAGACAAAGAGGACCGUUUUUCUUCGCUUCCGGGCUGUAAAGCGGCGAAACUGUGAAAGUAUUUAUUUCGCAGGAUAUAUUGAAAAUAUGAGCGCAAACGAUCUUCCCCUCAACGGCCUAUUCAGGCAUUUUCAUCCUCCGUCUAAACAUCGAUGGCCGAUCGAUUUUACAACAGAGAACUCAAGAAACGGCGUUAUCCUUAUGUUGUCAAUGGUUGUCUUCGGUACGGCUUGGGGAUUCCUGACUUUAAUUAUUUACCUGAUCAAGGGACGCCAUGCGAAAAGCAAGCAUUGUCUCGAUGACGAUGACGAUGACGUCACGGAAAAACAUAAAACGGCCGGAGCGUCGAUGAUGUCUUUGAAACGAAAGGAACAAAUAGGUGAACCCGGGAGUGAAAACAUCGUGGCUGUUAUACAGUUAACGACAUGAAACAAUGGCAGUAAUAACGGUAUAUAAUAGCAAUAUGCAACGAAGUAUUUGUACAUCUACUUGUUUAGAUAAAUAUUUAAUA